rnacentral:tRNA from 1 species
GGAGGAGUGGCAGAGUGGUUGAAUGCACCGGUCUUGAAAACCGACGUAGGUCAAAAGCCUACCGUGGGUUCGAAUCCCACCUCCUCCGCCA